rnacentral:rRNA from 1 species
GAUGAACGCUGGCGGCGUGCCUAAUACAUGCAAGUCGAGCGAACAGACGAGGAGCUUGCUCCUCUGACGUUAGCGGCGGACGGGUGAGUAACACGUGGAUAACCUACCUAUAAGACUGGGAUAACUUCGGGAAACCGGAGCUAAUACCGGAUAAUAUAUUGAACCGCAUGGUUCAAUAGUGAAAGACGGUUUUGCUGUCACUUAUAGAUGGAUCCGCGCCGCAUUAGCUAGUUGGUAAGGUAACGGCUUACCAAGGCGACGAUGCGUAGCCGACCUGAGAGGGUGAUCGGCCACACUGGAACUGAGACACGGUCCAGACUCCGACGGGAGGCAGCAGUGGGGAAUCUUCCGCAAAGGGCGAAAGCCUGACGGAGCAACGCCGCGUGAGUGAUGAAGGUCUUCGGAUCGUAAAACUCUGUUAUUAGGGAAGAAAAAAUGUGUAAGUAACUAUGCACGUCUUGACGGUACCUAAUCAAAAAGCCACGGCUAACUACGUG